UACGUAGGGGGCUAGCGUUGUCCGGAUUUAUUGGGCGUAAAGAGCGUGUAGGCGGCCAUACAGGUCAGCUGUGAAAACUCGAGGCUCAACCUCGAGACGUCGGUUGAAACCGUAUGGCUAGAGUCCGGAAGAGGAGAGUGGAAUUCCCGGUGUAGCGGUGAAAUGCGCAGAUAUCGGGAAGAACACCCGUGGCGAAGGCGGCUCUCUGGGACGGUACUGACGCUGAGACGCGGAAGCGUGGGGAGCGAACAGG
rnacentral:rRNA from 1 species